UCUUUCAUUCUGAUAGCAUCUUUUUUCAAUCUACUUUCAAUUCCAAGAACAGCGGUGACGAGCUCGACACACCACCAGUUUUUUCUAGCCGCUCACACUUGUCACACACACUUGACACACGCUGGCAGUUGGCUGGUCCACACUGUUCUGGGGGUGAUUGGUGGACACUUGACUGAAAACUCGUUCAAGGAUCAAGAUGGACCAAAGAGUGCUCCGCGAGUGCUGCACCGCAACGAUCGUGAAUGAUGAACGACUGAAUCGAAGAUCAACAUUUUAAGGUGGAGGAUCGAGAAAAAGCGUCGACGAAGAUCUUCAAAAAAGGGGAAAAUAUUUUCUUCGAUCUGUUUUGAACCGCAAUUCUUCGCUAUGGAAGAAACGAUCACAUUGCUAAGGAGGAUGCAUCAUCGGUUCAGUCAGCCGUUAAGCAAGGCCUUCGGACAAAAAAUAAGCGAACUUGUACCGGUGUUGGGCAAACCCGUCAAAGAUUGAAAUCUGUGCUUUGCAUGAAGUAGUUUGUCUAGUGUUCAAACAAAUACAUUGUAGUAGUACUUGACAUUCGCCGCGUGAAGCGUGAAAGCACCGAUACCGAAAACAUACAAAUCUUCGCAGAUAGACGGUUAGCGUCGCGCGUGUGGGUCCGGAAUAUUGUGCAAAUUUUCAACCGGUUGCUCAACACAAGGCAGUUAUUUGAAUAAAGUAUGGUGUCAGAGGCAAAUUGGUUCCACACAAGGAUCCAAGGGGUGCCAAGAGCACGGAGCAUGCAUAAUUUGUGCUACAUUGUGGAUUUCCCUCUACUCGUUCCGGUUCGCGUGUGUGCAUGUGCUCAAGUGCAGUGUGUGAAUGCAAUUUGCAAUUUUACGGCAUUUCCAUUUUCGGUAUUGCGUGUUUCGGAAAAAUGUAUGAAAAAAGUGACUGCUCUACACUCUACGCCAAUAAUCCGCUGCAGGAACGGUGAAUGAUGUACGGAUUGCCGGCGAGACUGAAUGUUUUUCAAAACAUGGAUAAAUUGAGACGGAGAAUGCGUAACAUAUGAAAUGAAAUGUUGAUUACCAUAAUGGGUAAAUUCACGAACGGAGUUUAUCGUUACGGGUAGAAUGAACCAGCAUCGCGAAAAUGUAUCUAAACAAAUACUGUUUGACUUUUUUGUGUAGAUCAUCUCCAGUGAUAUGUGGAUAUCGUCAUAGGAUGCCGUUGUGCUGUGAUUAAGAUUCGUUCACAUGCGCAAGCUGUGAAAGUGCUCUCGUGCAAAUCGUACAUUCCUUUUGUGGAUUACUAGGUACCCGUCGCAGUACAGCAGUGUUCACAUUCCGUCGUUAAAGUUUCAUUUUGUUUUGUGUACCGUUUUUGUGCUGAGGUAAUUUUCAUUAUUACGUUUAACCAUUACUUCGCCUCUGCGUUCAAAUACUGCUUUUGUGCAGUUCGUUCGUAAUGCAAAAUGUAAAAUGCAAAAAGUAAAAGCAGCGACGAUUGGUAACGUGAAGAGCAUAACUGUGAAAAAGUGAUGCGACUUUUAUUUGCUAAAUGAUGGAAUUGUAUUUGUUUAUCAAUUUCAAAGCGCUCAAAAGUCAUACGUGAUCGUGCAAGUGUAUAAUUAUGUUGUCGUAUUUAUCAUUUCGAUAUAAAAAUGAGAAAAAAGGUGUAUCAUUGUAUCAGCAUGAAAUGCAGUAGCAGUGAAGUUCAAAGUGCCGAAGGUUGAAGAAGGAAGCGUCAAACAACAAGUUUUAUUGGCCCGAAACAGUAAAAAUAUUUUUAUUGCAAGGCGUGGAAUUGGAAUUAGACGACAUAAUGUCGCGUGGUGUUUUACGAGGAUGAGCCGCCGUCAUAGUUAUGAAUCGUUGACUGACUACAAGAUUAAUAAUGGAGGGCUCGGCGCGAUCCUGAGAUUUGCCGCCUAGCAUGGAUCCCACUACCUUCAAGCGUAGUGCAGCUGAAAGUAGGUAACAUUAAAAAAACGCUUUUUUUCGUUGAAUACUCAUGAAGAAUUUUUAUCUCCUAUUUGAUUGUAACAUGCAAUUCAGUGUGAAAAUAAAACGGAACAUACUUUUAAAGGGAUUGGUUUAUUGCUAAAGGUUCUUAACCCAGUUGAGUCACGGUGUUAUCACUCCUCCAUAUGAAUUUCCCAUUCGAUUCCAUUUCGCGGCAAUUAUCCUCCCGUUUUCGCACUCUUUGGAUAUUUAAUUGUUAUUAAAUUUUGUUACUAUCUGUUUACCUUCACACAGGUUUCCGUUUCCUUACAAAUUAUACUUUCCUCAGGCUCUCUCUCUGUGUUCAGCUUGUGUUGCCUCAGCCUCGCGUGGAGUGCAGUUUACGACUGAUAUAAAGUUUUUAACAGUUUUUAAAUUGUUUUACGAGCCUAUAAAUAGUUACUUGGCGGCAACUUUUUGCUUUCCACAAAUUGAUAAAAAUGACCUGUGCUGGUGGAUCCAAAUUUUGUUUU